rnacentral:rRNA from 1 species
ACGGGUGAGUAACGCGUGGGAAUCUACCGUGCCCUGCGGAAUAGCUCCGGGAAACUGGAAUUAAUACCGCAUACGCCCUACGGGGGAAAGAUUUAUCGGGGUAUGAUGAGCCCGCGUUGGAUUAGCUAGUUGGUGGGGUAAAGGCCUACCAAGGCGACGAUCCAUAGCUGGUCUGAGAGGAUGAUCAGCCACAUUGGGACUGAGACACGGCCCAAACUCCUACGGGAGGCAGCAGUGGGGAACAUUGGACAAUGGGCGCAAGCCUGAUCCAGCCAUGCCGCGUGAGUGAUGAAGGCCUUAGGGUUGUAAAGCUCUUUCACCGGAGAAGGUAAUGACGGUAUCCGGAGAAGAAGCCCCGGCUAACUUCGUGCCAGCAGCCGCGGUAAUACGAAGGGGGCUAGCGUUGUUCGGAAUUACUGGGCGUAAAGCGCACGUAGGCGGAUAUUUAAGUCAGGGGUGAAAUCCCAGAGCUCAACUCUGGAACUGCCUUUGAUACUGGGUAUCUUGAGUAUGGAAGAGGUAAGUGGAAUUCCGAGUGUAGAGGUGAAAUUCGUAGA